GCCGGGCUCAGUGGCUCACGCCUGUCAUCCCAGCACUUUGGGAGGCCGAGGCGGGCGGGUCACGAGGUCAAGAGAUCGAGACCAUCCGGGCCGACACGGUGAAACCCCGUCUCUAUU
rnacentral:ncRNA from 15 species